CCCUAUCUGAUCCCUUUCCCAUCAACCUAAACACUGGUUUUGGUGGUCAUAAAAUAAAGGCUAGUAAAGCUGAAGCUAGCCUUAUAGGACACAUAGCCUACUAUGGAAUACAUGGGCUAGAUUCAAAUAAGG